CAGUAGCCGCGGUAAUACGUAGGGCGCAAGCGUUGUCCGGAAUUAUUGGGCGUAAAGAGCUCGUAGGCGGUCUGUCGCGUCUGGUGUGAAAUCCCGAGGCUCAACCUCGGGCUUGCAUCGGGUACGGGCAGACUAGAGUGCGGUAGGGGAGACUGGAAUUCCUGGUGUAGCGGUGGAAUGCGCAGAUAUCAGGAGGAACACCGAUGGCGAAGGCAGGUCUCUGGGCCGCAACUGACGCUGAGGAGCGAAAGCAUGGGGAGCGAACAGGAUUAGAUACCCGGGUAGUCCCUGUCUCUUAUAC
rnacentral:rRNA from 1 species